rnacentral:rRNA from 1 species
UAACAGCCCACCAAGGCGACGAUGGGUAGCCGGCCUGAGAGGGUGUCCGGCCACACUGGGAUUGAGAUACGGCCCAGACUCCUUCGGGAGGCAGCAGUCGAGAAUCUUCCCCAAUGGGCGAAAGCCUGAGGGAGCGACGCCGCGUGAGGGAUGAAGGCCCUUUGGGUUGUAAACCUCUGUUAGGGGGAAAGAACAGCAGUGGGAGCAAUAUGUCCAUUGCCUGACGUUACCCCCAGAGAAAGCUCCGGCCAACUCCGUGCCAGCAGCCGCGGUAAUACGGGGGGAGCAAGCGUUGUCCGGAAUCAUUGGGCGUAAAGGGCGUGUAGGCGGUUUGGCAAGUCGAAUGUGAAAUCCCACGGCUCAACCGUGGAACUGCGUUCGAAACUGCCUUACUUGAGUGCGGGAGAGGUGUGCGGAAUUCCUGGUGUAGCGGUGGAAUGCGUAGAUAUCAGGAAGAACACCGGUGGCGAAGGCGGCACACUGGCCCAGCACUGACGCUGAGGCGCGAAAGCGUGGGGAGCGAACGGGAUUAGAUACCCCGGUAGUCCACGCUGUAAACUUUGGGCACUAGGUAUUGGAGGUCUCAACCCCUUCAGUGCCGUAGCUAACGCG